rnacentral:rRNA from 1 species
AAUCAACGCUGGCGGCGUGCCUCAGACAUGCAAGUCGAACGAUUAAGACUUCCUUCGGGAAGUGCAUAAAGUGGCGCACGGGUGAGUAACACGUAAGUAAUCUACCCUCGAGUGGGGAAUAACGUUCGGAAACGAACGCCAAUACCGCGUAAUGCAGCGGCAUCGCAAGAUGACAGUUGUUAAAGGAGUAAUUCGCUUGAGGAGGAGCUUGCGGCAGAUUAGCUAGUUGGUAAGGUAACGGCUUACCAAGGCUAGGAUCUGUAUCCGGUCUAAGAGGACGGUCGGACACACUGACACUGAAUAACGGGUCAGACUCCUACGGGAGGCAGCAGUCGGGAAUUUUGGGCAAUGGGCGAAAGCCUGACCCAGCAACGCCGCGUGAAGGAUGAAGUAUUUCGGUAUGUAAACUUCGAAAGAAUGGGAAGAAUAAAUGACGGUACCAUUUAUAAGCUCCGGCUAACUACGUGCCAGCCGCCGCGGUAAAAC